UUCGCAGGCGGAAAUGCAAGUCAGGUGUAAAAGGCAGUAGCUUAACUACUGUAAGCAUUUGAAACUGCAUAUCUUGAGAAGAGUAGAGGUAAGUGGAAUUUUUAGUGUGGCGGUGAAAUGCGUAGAUAUUAAAAAGAAUACCGGUGGCGAAGGCGACUUACUGGGCUCAUUCUGACGCUGAGGAACAAAGCGUGGGUAAGCAAACAG
rnacentral:rRNA from 1 species